CGGGCGAGCCUCACAAAGCGGUCUCAGCUGCUGAAUCGUGGGACCAUCUGGCAAGGGCUGGAGGCAGAGCAGCGUGUUUGCGCGGUGUUGGGCUUCCUUUCUACAAACACGCCACACACUGUGAGGGGGUGGCUGGCGACCACCUGGGAAGAGACAACUUCACCCUCGGAGGGGGAGGCAGCACGGUCUAAGGCCCGAGUGCAGCCAGGAAGGAACAUCCCACACCCUGUGGACGGAGGUGACAGAGUAACCCAUGACCAAGGACAAUGAUGUCCUGCAGCCUUCCAUUCGGGAUAGCAGGUCUCAGGUAUCAACUGGACGUGAAAGCUCAAGCCAAGACCCUCUGUGGACAAGCAAAAGCCACAGCGCCCGAUACCAUUCCCCGUCAGAGAGCCAGGGUGAAGACUGGUGAAGAGGCCAGCCAGGGAGGUCUGUGUUCAUGUGAAGCUGGUAGAAGCCAGAAGAGGGCCUCACAUUCCCAGGAACUGGAGUUACAGAUGCUUGUGAGCCAUCAUGUGGGUGCUGAGAACUGAAUCCAGGUAUCGAGUUCCUCUGGGAGAGCAGCAAGUGCUUUGAACCUGUGAGGUAUCUCCCUGGCUUUGAACCUGUGAGGUAUCUCCCUGGCUUUGAACCUGUGAGGCAUCUCCCUGGCUUUGAACCUGUGAGGUAUCUCCCUGGCUUUGAACCUGUGAGGCAUCUUCUUGGCCCACGGGCAGGUAUUCUGAAGUGUCUAAGCAUGGUAUGAUAGCAGGUCAGCCGUCAGCCCAUCACGUGGGAGACUGAAACUGGAGGACUAGAAGUUCAAGGCCGACCUGGCCUACAUAGCAAGACCUGGCCUUGAAACAACUCUGUGACCAGAACAAAGUUCUGCUCAGAUUUGCCAUCCCCCCAAGUACAGUGGACACCUCACCCUGUCCAUAUCUGUUACUGCCGAGGGCUGGGGAAGCCACACAGGGCUCCAAACGGUCUGGUGUUUGUCUUACUCCUCCAUAACUCAGACACUGGUCCCACACAGCGCUGGGCCAGCAUCUGGGCUUGGUUUCCUCAUGGGUAAGAUAAAGGCCCUCUACAGACUGUCGUGGCUUCCAAGGUGUCUCCAAGAACACCAGGCUCUUUCCCAGGAUAGAUUAGAACAGCGGAGGGCAGGCAGAGGCCAGAGCAAACGGCGUCAGACAUCCUGUCCUGUGGAGCCAGGGACAUUGAUUUGUUCUCCUGCGGUCCUGGGUGACCAUAAGUACAGUGACCUGCCAGCUGCCAACGCUUGACUUAAGACCUGGCACCCCAGGCUCUCCUCAGGGAUCAGUCACAGAGGCACAGGAUGUCUGUACGGCUGGACUUGGUCACCUGGAUCCUCUUGGUCUCAGAGUCUACACUGGACAUCAAACCCAUAGAAGUGCCACCAGGCCCCCAGGCAAACAGAAGCAAGUCUUCACUGUGACCCAUAGUAUCACUGUAAACUGUCUGGUAAGACGACAUCUCAGGCACAAAAGGACACCAGGGCAGGAGGGACAUUUUAACAACUUGAAUGCCAUCACCCAGAACCGGUCAGGGGCUAUCUUUCCUUUAGCCUAUGCGGAAUGUGGCAGCCUGGGCCUGUAUAGUGAGCCCUCGGCACACACGCUGGAGAGAUGCUCCUGUGAUUGCGGUAUCCCCUAGUAUCGGAUUCCAUGGUUACAGCAUCAGCAGGUGCUUCCAAGAUACAGAAGCCUCAAGGAGGAGGACUGUACCUCCCUGGCUUCUGCCUUCUCCCGGAGACGCAGAAGGGAUGCUACAAUAGUUGAGACUGAGAUGUGUCCUGUGGUGGGUGGCCUUUAGGACCUGGAGACAAUGUUGGUGUAAGAUUUUUUUCAUCUGCUCUCAGAUCCUAAUGUGUAGGGAGCAGUAAUGUUUGUUGAGUGAAUAAUUGACUGUAAAUCCUUUCUUGACAGCUAGGCUAGUAGAUGGUGAGAAUGAGAUGAAGCAUGUGGUUCCUGCCUACAAGGGGGGGGGGG
rnacentral:sRNA from 1 species